UACGAAGGGGGCUAGCGUUGUUCGGAUUUACUGGGCGUAAAGCGCACGUAGGCGGAUUGUUAAGUCGGGGGUGAAAUCCUGGAGCUCAACUCCAGAAUUGCCUUCGAUACUGGCUUUCUAGAGGCUGGAAGAGGUUAGUGGAAUUCCCAGUGUAGAGGUGAAAUUCGUAGAUAUUGGGAAGAACACCAGUGGCGAAGGCGGCUUCCUGGACCGACACUGACGCUGAGGCGCGAAAGCUAGGGGAGCAAACGGG
rnacentral:rRNA from 1 species